UCAAGCCUCUAGUACGACCCCCUCACCCCCCGAUUUUCUUUCCCCCGUCCCAGUCCCACCUCUCGUACGACCCACUCGAUUUUCUUUCCCCCUCUGGCCUGCUCCUCAUGCCGGCGUCCGGCGCCACCGCUACCAACCUCCAGCCGUCGUCCAAAACAACAGCACCAUGGAUCCCGAUGUGGAGCUCCACUGCAGCCCGAUCUGACCUGGGAGCGACCAGAUCCGUGCGUCUCCGCCUCGCUCCGCGUGCCUCCAUGGUCCGCCGUCUUCCCGAGCGCCGGCGCCACGCGACUAUCCGUUGGAGAUUUGGGAUCGGAUGCGCCAAUAACAAGGGACCAAGGUGAUGAACUAACGGCACGGACAGAAUGAUUCUUCAGGAUGAAUCAGAAACUGAAGAUGAUGAUACAAUGGACACAGAAGAAGCUUCCUCUGUCCUCAUCACUGCACUGUAGUCUUUCAGCCAAGCUCUGGUGAAUGAUGACGGAGAAAAAGAUAUCGUGACAGAGGUUCAUGUCUUCUUGUGUCCAACCCUAGAUCACAGGGGCUCUCUUAUCAGCAAAAUAGCUACUCUAGAUGCGCAGAUGACGAUCCAGCCGCGGUUGCGCUUUAUCUCGUCGGGACGAAAUAGCCCUGCCUUGUCCCUGCCUCCGCCGGUAGAGGCUAUUUUCCAUAGGCCAAGGAAACAACAUGGACAUGCUGCCCUUUUUCCCAAUCAAAAUACUUCUGUGUGGAGAGCUCGGGCGUCGGCGGCUGUGUCGAAGCAGAGCUCGGUCAUCGGUGACAGCACGGCCGGCUGAUUUGCGACUGGUCGGAUGGCGAGCUUCACAUACCUGUGCGCGUACGCAUGGGUAACACACUAUAUUGGCCGCGCAAGAGCAAGUUCACAGUGAUUGCAAGGGGAGAGAUGUGCUGCACUUACGUCAGUAAUCAGGGCAGGCCCAUAUCCAUUAUAUGCAUAUUUUGUUAGUACUAUUGUAAUUUAGCAAGUUCUUGUUCUUUCCGUAAGUUGUUUGCUGAACAUUUCAUGCCGCCUUGAGCAUGCAAAAGUACUUCUGAAUUUUGCAUGAUAUUUUGUUAGUCAUAAAUCACGUCACACACCACAUCUAUAUUUUUUUAUUUUGGUAGUUUAAAAAUAACUAUUCUAAAUGUUCUUUCAAUAACUAUUCUAAAUGUACUAUAGACCGAAGUCAGAAUAUUGGUAAGCUCAUUCUUUUUGUAAGCUAUGGAGAUGAAUUUGAUGAGUUGUGUGAAGAUGAAAGGAAGCCGAUGGAAUAUACUUUGAUUAGCAGUGACCUUGGAGAGCGAAUGGUGCCCCUACAUAGACUUUACUGAAAAGUUGCUAUUUAUAAUGUUUUUUUGGUUAGAGAAAAGAUCACAGUGGACACAACUGCAGAAGCAGCGAUUCAAUGUUUUAUUCAGUUUAACCAUGACUAUUCUUUUCAUUCAGAUAUGCUAUGAACUAAAUUAUGUAUCUUCUUCGCCCUUGAAUUGGAUAAUUACCGUGGUUUCAUCUUUUGACUCAGAUAUGCGCAAGGAAUUGAAUAGGUGCUGGUUUUUUUAUCAUAAUCUGUCCACCGACAAUGCAUAUGAAAGUAGAUAUGAAGGACUAUUUUAUGCCAUUUGAUUGGAACACUAAACUAGGUUUUGUUGGUUCUUGAGUGAAAAGAUAGUUGAUGGUGGAACAAGGUGCCCCAGAUUAAUUAGGAAAUGAGAAAGUUGCAUUUUGGUGAUCC